UACAGAGGUGGCAAGCGUUGUUCGGAAUUACUGGGCGUAAAGGGCGCGUAGGCGGCCUUCUAAGUCAGACGUGAAAUCCCCCGGCUUAACCUGGGAACUGCGUCUGAUACUGGGAGGCUAGAGUGCGGGAGAGGGAUGCGGAAUUCCAGGUGUAGCGGUGAAAUGCGUAGAUAUCUGGAGGAACACCGGUGGCGAAGGCGGGUCUCUGGGCCGAUACUGACGCUGAGGAGCGAAAGCGUGGGGAGCGAACAGG
rnacentral:rRNA from 1 species